AACGAACGCUGGCGGCAGGCUUAACACAUGCAAGUCGAGCGCCCUGCUUGCAGGGAGCGGCAGACGGGUGAGUAACGCGUGGGAACAUACCUUGUAGUACGGAAUAGCCUCGGGAAACUGGGAAUAAUACCGUAUACGCCCUUCGGGGGAAAGAUUUAUCGCUAUAAGAUUGGCCCGCGUUAGAUUAGUUUGUUGGUGGGGUAAUGGCCUACCAAGACUACGAUCUAUAGCUGGUCUGAGAGGAUGAUCAGCCACACUGGGACUGAGACACGGCCCAGACUCCUACGGGAGGCAGCAGUGGGGGGAAUAUUGGACAAUGGGGGGGAAACCCUGAUCCAGCCAUGCCGCGUGAGUGAUGACGGCCUUAGGGUUGUAAAGCUCUUUCACCGGUGAAGAUAAUGACGGUAACCGGAGAAGAAGCCCCGGCUAACUUCGUGCCAGCAGCCGCGGUAAUU
rnacentral:rRNA from 1 species